rnacentral:rRNA from 1 species
UCUAUUUGCAGUUAAAAAAAGUCUAACCUGCCCACUGAUUUAUAGUGUUAAAUGGCCGCAGUAUUAUGACUGUGCAAAGGUAGCAUAAUCAUUAGGUUUUUAAAUGAGAUCUUGUAUGAAUGGUUGAACAAAGGGGAAACUGUCUUUAUUUUAAAUUUUGAAUUUUACUUUUAAGUGAGAAGGCUUAAAUAUUCUAGAGGGACGAUAAGACCCUAUAAAGCUUUAUAUUAUGAUUAUAUUUAAUUAAAUUUUAUUAUGGUAAAAGUUUAGUAUAAUUAUUUAUUAUGUUGGGGAGACAGAAAUAUAAGUGAGUUAUUAACUGUUAUUUAAAAUAAAACAUUUAUUUAUGGUAUAAGGGAAGUGAUGGAUCCUAAAAUAUAGAUUUUAAGUUUAAGUUACUUUAGGGAUAACAGUAUAAUUUUUUUUGAGAGUUCAUAUCGAAAAAAGAGUUUGUAACCUCGAUGUUGAAUUAAAUUAUCUUUAUAAUGAAGCUGUUAUAAAAGAGAGUCUGUUCGACUUUUAUCUU